AAAGGAGAAAGGAAGGAAGGAAGGAAGGAAGGAAGGAAGGAAGGAAGGAAACAAGAAGCAAAAGACAGAGAGAGAGGGAGAAAGAGAGAGAGAGAGAGAGAGAGAGAAAGGAACGGAAUGGCAUUUGCACUGGCUCCCGGCCAAAUCCCACCUCAUCAAAAUGUCGGAAAGACGGCUCCGGACGACGAGUCGGAGGCAACACGGUCUGAAUGUCAUCCCUUGAGGAACUGUCCCUGCGAUAUCCCUGGUUAAAAGGGAGAGAGGAAGGAAAGAACGAGCUUCGAGAUAUCGAAGAAGAAUCACUUUGGAGGAACUAUUGAAAACUAUCAAGCGGAAGCUGAGUAACUGGAAUAACGACUUUAAUCGAUAACCGAUCGUUACUCUACGGAGUAUUGAACGCCGACAAAGAGAAAGAGGAAGAGAGAAACAUGGUCGAAUAAAAUCAUUACUUCUCGAAAAGGGACAACGAUAUCGAUACAAGGGUCUCAACGUUUACCUGAUACACCUGGCGGUAUUAUAAAGAUUAUGCUAGCUGGGUCAUCGCCGCCCCUAACCAGGAAAAGGCUCUUUCGUGUUCGUCGGUACAGAAAUAAAUAAGUACGCAACGAGGGAAACCCUAUGCAGGUGGUCCACCCUCCCCGUUUCAUCGCUUUGUUCCUCGCUUCAGUGUAGCGAACGUCAAUCAAAUACCGAGCGCUCGGAGGGUUUCGAAUUAGGCGAUACACACUAGCACGCAUGACGUAUAAAACGAGGGUCCACGAGUAUCGUCAUACGAGAUUCAGCCUUUAGCAAAAGGAAGCACCAAGUCGGAGCAAUAAGCCUAAUUGCUAUCUGCUUUGAGAGAAUUUUUUAAUUUACUAUUCUCUCUUUUCUAUUCUUCUUUUUUAUUCUUCUUUUUUAUUUUUCUUUUUUUAUUUAUAAUAAAUUUUUCUUCGACAGAAAUAAUUAUCUAUUUACGAGUUAAACUACAAAUAAAAUUUUCAUAUCUCUCAUAAGAAAAUAAAUAGAAGGUCAUUGGAGAAAAGACUGACGAUUGUAAGUAUUCUCAUGAAUACGGAAAAUGAGAAAGAACGACUAUUUACUUCACAUUUAGUAAUAUCUCG